UGCUAUGGCUGAAUUAGUGAUUGGCCAUAGUGUUUGUUACCGCGAACGAUCACAUUCGCAAUUUUAGUUGGAGUCGACAAUGUCACUAACAGCAGAACAGAAAGCACAAGUAGUCAAAGAUUACGCGCAAGGCGAA
rfam:Idiomarinaceae bacterium HL-53 ITZY_scaf_0, whole genome shotgun sequence.